CAUUAAGUUUCUUAAAGCAAGAAUUGGUCUCUUAAACCAAACUAUAGUAAACUAGUAAUUACUCUUAAUGA
rnacentral:tRNA from 1 species